rnacentral:rRNA from 1 species
UACGUAGGGAGCAAGCGUUGUCCGGAAUCAUUGGGCGUAAAGAGCGUGUAGGCGGUCCUGUAAGUCCGCUGUGAAAGUCAAGGGCUCAACCCUUGAAUGCCGGUGGAUACUGCAGGACUAGAGUCCGGAAGAGGCGAGUGGAAUUCCUGGUGUAGCGGUGAAAUGCGCAGAUAUCAGGAGGAACACCGAUGGCGAAGGCAGCUCGCUGGGACGGUACUGACGCUGAGACGCGAAAGCGUGGGGAGCGAACAGG